UUUCCCGCCCGUUUCUUCUUCUUCUCUUUCUUCUCCUUUCCUUUUUCUUUUUCUUUUCCUUCUCUGUACCCCGCCUGAUCGAACCUGCCAUUCUCUUUUCUUUCUUCUUCUUCUUUCUUCCUUCUCCUCCUCCUGUAACCCGCUCGACUUGUCAACAUCUCGACCUUCUCCUCUGCGUCUUCUUCUCCUUCCUCUUCUCACGCGAACGCCUGCAACCGGACCUACCCCCCUCCUGACCCUCUCUUCUCCUCUUCUUCUCCUCUUCUUCUCCUUCCCCUGCUCUUUCGAGCACACGCAUCCACUGCCGCAUGCUCUGCCUCCCGUCUGCUUCUUCUUCCUGUUAUCCUUCCCGCAGCAGCCCUGCAACAACCCAGCCAAACCAUCACUCAUCCCUUUGCCCUUCUCUACAAUCCCCCGUUCUCUACGGAGUACACCGGCUUUGCCCCGUGAGAAGCCUCUCCUCUGCUCCUUUCUCUUCUUCAUUUCUUCACGGCAACCCUGCAACUCCAUCAACACCCGAGCCUGCAAUUAGCUCAACCGGACCUCGUCACCAUCAACCCUUUGGCUCUCUCUCGCUCGCUCUCUCUAUCUAUCUCUCUCUCUCUCUCUCUCUCAAAGAAACCAGAACAGACAGACAGAAAGAAAAAAAAGCCCGGGGGGCAAAGAACAGAAACCCUCAAGCUCACACACACUCACCCUCAUCUUGCUUAGCUCAGAAACCCCGAGACUAAGGCCCUCGGCACUCUCUCUCACCCCGGACCCCAACGUCCUCAGCACUCUCUCACACUCCCUUCAGUUCACUCACCCUCGCAGACAACUCCCUCUCAGCCCGCCAUUCAUGGACACAACCCCAGCUCACGCCACUUCCCUAGCUCAGUGGCCCGACGACCCGCCACCCAGGCAAUCACUCCAGCCACGCUCAAGGACCUCCCAGGGAUCGCAUGCAACUGAGUCACGACGCCUGAACCACCCGGAUUAUCCUCCAUCUUUCUCGGUUUCGUUGUGGUUCUAACCGGGUUAGUUUUGUGUUUUCCAAGUUUGCACAGAUAGCCACCUGCUGGGAGCCAUUCUCGACCCCCUUCGAGAGCCUCUCAGGAGCCUAGAGCCCCAUCCUCAUCUCCGGAAGUAGCCUUGAGACUCUCGAGCUAGCCAACCUCUCUCUCCGGGCGUUUUCCUCUCAGUCGAGUUUGCCAGACCUGAUCGGGUACCCUACUUGUCCAGCAACGCCAUCCGACUUCCAACGGCUUUCUCCUCCCCCCCGAGCUAGAAAUGACCAAAAAAGGGGAUAGAAAGACCAUGCAAAACUCGAUUCGGGCUCAAGGGUCUCACAGCCAUCUCCAAGCGAUGGUGGCCGAGUGUCUCUUGACCAGUCUCAGGUCAAGUAGGGCCUCCUUGUCUCGUUUAAAGUUGACUCUCUGAUUGUGUGCAAUUGUAUUUUUCGUUUGGCAUUAAUCAGAUGAUAAAUCGCUUGUUAAACGCGUUAGUUUUAAGUAA